CUGGAAUCGCUAGUAAUCGCGGAUCAGAAUGCCGCGGUGAAUACGUUCCCGGGUCUUGUACACACCGCCCGUCACACCAUGGGGAGUCGGAAAUGCCCGAAGUCUGUGACCCAACCGCGAGGAGGGAGCAGCCGAAGGCAGGUCGGAUGACUGGGGUGAAGUCGUAACAAGGUAUC
rnacentral:rRNA from 1 species